rnacentral:rRNA from 1 species
CCUACGGGGCGCAGCAGUGAGGAAUAUUGGUCAAUGGACGAGAGUCUGAACCAGCCAAGUAGCGUGAAGGAUGACUGCCCUAUGGGUUGUAAACUUCUUUUAUAUGGGAAUAAAAUGUUCCACGUGUGGGAUUUUGUAUGUACCAUAUGAAUAAGGAUCGGCUAACUCCGUGCCAGCAGCCGCGGUAAUACGGGGGAUCCGAGCGUUAUCCGGAUUUAUUGGGUUUAAAGGGAGCGUAGGUGGAUUGUUAAGUCAGUUGUGAAAGUUUGCGGAUCAACCGUAAAAUUGCAGUUGAAACGGGCAGUCUUGAGUACAGUAGAGGUGGGCGGAAUUCGUGGUGUAGCGGUGAAAUGCUUAGAUAUCACGAAGAACUCCGAUUGCGAAGGCAGUUCACUGGACUGCAACUGACACUGAGGCUCGAAAGUGUGGGUAUCAAACAGGAUUAGAUACCCUAGUAGUC